GCGGAAUUCUCCACGAGUUUUGAGCAGCGUCGGUUUUCCCACCACCUCCAAAUCAUGCAAGACACAGGGUGCAGGCAGAGCCCCCGGAGCCAUGGCCAGCCCUUCCGGCAGCUCCGAAGCCACUGGCAAGCCCCGAGGCAGGGAUGGCCGGCCCAGGAGGGAGGAGGACGACGUCCCUCCCGAGGAGAAGAGGCUGCGCCUGGGGCUGGAGGGGGGAAGCGCACAGCCCGAGGACUGCGAGGACGGGGAGGACGCGCCGCGGCCGGGCAGGGAGGAGACCGGCACCCAGACAGGUGGCGACGGCAGAGGAGUGGUCAUUUUUCUUCUUGUGGCCUCUGGUAUGUGACACAGAACUCAAAGGACAGGAAGGAGAUGAGUUGGAGGCUGGGACAGGGGUCCCUGUCAGGGAUGCUGGUGACUCACAUGACGGUGUUGAUGUGUGGAGUCCGGUGCCUGGUUUGGGGAAUGUUCGUGGGAUAUGUGCCAAAGGACUGACGGACCUAUCAGGUGCAGCGGCUCACAUUUGUAAUCCCAGCACUUUGGAGGCGAGGCUGCGGAUCACCUAAGGUCAGUAAUUCGAGACCAGCCUGGCCAACCUGGUGAAACUGUCUCUACUAAAAAUACAGAAAUUAGCCAGGUGUGAUGGCACACACCUGUAAUCCCAGCUACUUGGGAGGCUGAGGCAGGAGAAUCGUUUGAACCUGGGAGACAGAGGUUGCAGUCAGCCGAGAUCGCACCACUGCACUUCAGCCAGCCUGGGUGACAGGGCGAGACUCUCUUUCAAAAAUAAAUAAAUACAAUAGAAUUCUGAAUUUUAUUUUUAAUAA
rnacentral:sRNA from 1 species